GAGCCUCUUCCCCAAAACCCACCGCAGCCCAUCUCGCGCGGGGCUGCAGCAAGAGGAGGGCGAGGGGUCUCGUCCCGCGCCGUCCGAGCCCGGGUGACCGCAGGUGGCGGCGACUCUGCAGUCGUGGCAGUUCAGAGUCCAGCACCCGGCCCCACGCGCGGGAAAGAAGCUCCACGGGCACGCAGCGGGGGGACUGAGGGUGCGGAGCGGAGUGCUGGCCCGGCAGGGGAGGGCGACGGCGCGGGGACGUUACCUCCAACAUGCCUCUCCUGCUCGCCCCGGCCGUGUCGAUGAGUGUGUUGUCCAGGUCAAAGAAGACCGCGCGGACCCGACUCAGCCCCAUAGCCUCGGCAACCCAAGCAGCGCGCGAGCCGCUUCUGCCGCGCCGCGCAUGCGCAAGGCGGUCAGGAACACCUGGGCGGAGUCUCGGAGGUCACCUGACCCUUCCAAAGCUCCGGGGUCUCCGUGGCAAGAUCGCGCGAGAUUCGGACACUAAAUUUUAUAGGGUGCGCGUGCACGAGAGGUGGAUGAGUGUUAUCAAGGCUUACUGCUGUGUGUGGGUGGAUGGUCCUCUCCGUUAAUGGCUUGGUGGGCUUGCUUAGGGCUGAGAAGGACAUCCGAGCCGUACUGGAGAAACUCUCCAGACCCUUGGCUGGCCUGUCUUUCUAUGGUGACCGCACAGUCUCCAUCAGGAGAUGGGGCAGGAGAGUGUGCCCACCAACCUCGGAACCUAGCUGCCCGGUGACUUUAGCGCUUCACUUCUUGCCCACAGCCUUGUAGGAACUAGAGCCUUCAUCUGAACAUCCUUUGAAAGAUGCUUAGAAGAACUGAAGAGAAAUGGGAGUCUCUGCAGUGUCUGCCGAAUGGUUGUUCUUAAAAAUGUGUAUUUGUGUUUCUGUGUACGUGAGUGCCUGCAGAGGACAGACGAGGUCGUCCUGGAGCUGCAGUUGCGGCGGCUGUGAGCUGCCCACUGUGGGUGCUGGGAACUUGGGUCCUCUACAAGAGCAGUAUGAGUUCUUAACCAGUGAACCAUUUCUCCAGCUCCUUUCCCUCCAUCUUUACUCAUUUUUCUGAAACUCUGCAGCCCAAGUCUUGUGUGCCUAUUAAUUGCAUGGUUUUCUGUAAUUUCUAGCAAGGAACCGAGACUGUCUGUUAAGAACCCCACAAGAUAAGUAACAAGGUUUGCCUUCUGUUGGUUGAAAUCAACCUCUAAUCCUUUUUUAUUGAUGAAAUUUGGAGUCACUUUCACUAACCUGGAACUUAUUGGGUCAGCCAAUGCCACAGACCUGGUUCUGAGCUUUCGAAUUAGGAUUGGUUCUUACAUUGUAAGUUAUUCAGAGAAAAUGAGAAAGUAUUUCAUAACAUGUGAGAAUUGAUUAAAUUUAAUUGUCUAUAGUU
rnacentral:lncRNA from 1 species